rnacentral:lncRNA from 1 species
AUGACCGUGAACACAAUCACCUUUCUCCUGUGUGCCCUUGCACGUCAGGCCAUCAGCCAACCUAAUGAUAUUUCCCCUGCGAGGGUCCUUUCCCAACAGACACGUCUGAGCGAGAACAGCGAUCUGUAUGUGACCUGCAGCACAUUCGGGUUAAAGAAACCCUCCUGGAUUUUUGUUUAUUUGUGUAAGGACGGCGUCGGAAUCCGAAAAAUGGUGCAGAAGGCAGAUCAAAUCGAUAGCACCUUCAUCGUGAGCGGAGUCGGCCCUGCUGACAGUGGAAACUACAGCUGCGGUUACUCCAGCGAAGAGUAUGCUCCUUCCGAAGUAGCAGCUCGAGGACACAACAUCAUCCAGAUUCUGGUUAUAGCUAAUUUUCUCCCAGCACACAUCACGUUGGCGCGGCCGUCCGCAGUCAGCGAGGGCGACGCUGUCGAAUUCAGAUGCACUGUGCCUGACACCCUGCAAACACUCGGCGGAUGUCAACUCAUCCCGUCUUAG